GGCGAUCCGAGGCUGCCUGGUGCUGGCUGCAGGGGGCGGCGGGGGCGCCGGGUGGAAGGGGCGGCCAGGGCCCUGCCUGAGGCGAUCGCUGCGGCGAGUCGGGCCCUGCCCGCUGGGCCCAGUCCCGAGAUCUUCCGCCGGGCUAAGUUUGACCGUCCAGAGGCGGCCCCAGCGCUCUGGCAGCUUCUCUUCCGCGUGCUCUCACCGCUUGCUGCAAACCAUGCCUCCACCGACCUUGCACCAGGUGAGCCCCGCCCUCCCUGAAAGCCGCGCCCCAGGGCCCUUGUUGCCACUUCCCCAACUCGGUCGACCUCACUCUGCCCUAACUCAGUAAGUCCUCCUUUUUCAACUCCAAAGCCCCCUCCGGCAGGCACCCCCAUCUCUAGCCGCUCUGUCCCGCCCACCUCCUGAAGUCUUGUUUUCCACCACCCUCUCCCUAGCUCACCCUGGCUGGCAGUGGCUCUGAGACUGGCCAACCGUUCACAGACAUCCUGCCCCCGGGCCUCCUUUGUCCACUCGGAGCGGGUUCUCAGCUGGGGGGGG
rnacentral:lncRNA from 1 species